AUGCAGCUGGACACUGUGUACAAAAUUGUGAAAGACAUUACUAACAAGAACUUCAUUCCUUCUAAAGUUCCAGAAGGAUGUACUCCAAUACAUUUAAAUUUAGUGGCAAGGCACGGGACCCGUUCUCCAACGAAGAAAAGAAUUAAGCAGUUGGACGAUUUGUUAUCUGAUCUGGAAGUUCUUAUAAGGGACGCAAAAGAGAAACAUUUGUCUUCAGAGAGAGUCCAUCUUGGUUGA